rnacentral:rRNA from 1 species
GCUACGGCCAUACCAGCCUGGGUACGCCCGAUCUCGUCUGAUCUCGGAAGCUAAGCAGGUUCGUGCCUGGUUAGUACUUGGAUGGGAGACCGCCUGGGAAUACCAGGUGCUGUAAGCA